GCGGUUGAUAACAGUUGGGCGGCCGCGGCAUCUGUGCAUUGAUGUCAGUGUGAAUGUAACCCUUCAGCAGCGGCUCUAUGCACAUAGAGUAAGCAGCGUCCUGCCGGCUAUUGUUACAGUGCUUCUAGCUCCUCUCCACGCAGGGGCGUCUGAACGGGGAAGGGGGGGGGAGUUGGCAGAGAGAGGCACCUGUCUACUUUAGAAGGGGAGCGGCAGACUGUCAGGUACUUAACCGCUGCCGGCUGCCGCACUGUACAGCUAAUGUGCGGCAGCAGCAGCUCCUCCUGCUUCCUAGUCUGUCCUCGGUCAGGUGGUACCGAACUCCUCCUCCAUCAGGAUGCCGCCUCCUCUCUCGCAGUGACUCCACCCCCAACCACAGUGGCCAAACGCGCACCAACAUCUCCGCCGCCGCAGGCAUGUGGCAGCGGCUUUAAUAGGCUCUAAUUCAGCAGCUGCUUUGCCCCCUCACAUUGAUGCUGGCUGCAUGUAGGGGGAGCUGCAGUGGCAGCGCGCAGCUCCUCCCGUCCCAAGCAGAUCGGUGAAAGGAAAAUAGGCAGUGUCAGCCCCUGAACUGAGGCAGUGACUGACUCCAGCAUGCCUACUUACUGUGCGACAGCCAGAAUUAUACAGAACUUUGUUGCCAUAUCCCCAAUAUUCAGAAUGGAUGCGCUGCAGAAUAUGAGCCGAUCACUCCACAAAGCCAGGAUGUCAUUCACUUAUCCGGUGCAGACAUUCAAUCACCGCUUUAGCCAUCAAUUGUUCUGCUCACUACGGAGUGACAUCUGAAUGCUAUGCAUGGUGAAUAGCAAUGUUACAGCGCUCUCUCGCUGAGCUGGUUAUUCCUUCCACUGGGCUGCAACUGUCAACGCUAUUGAAUGAAGAAGAAUUUUCCAAACUCUUCUGCAAAAUGUUGGCCCUGUUCCAAAUUAGAAAGUCAAAUUGUACAUGUUUCGUCAUUGGUGUUACUAACCCAACAACUCAUAUACUCCUUUCAGACAUAAGCCAAACCCCAUUAUUUUGCGGUACAUGUGUAUGGACUCGGGUCCUGCUUAUGUCUUAAAAAUGGUCUGAUCCGGGUUAACAUUCCCUGGUCCGCGAACCUGCAACUGACCAGUGUUAUUCCCGGGACCUGCAACCCGGGUUGUGUGUGAAAGCAGAGCCGGCCCUAACCAAUAUGAUGCCCUAGGCAAGAUUUUGGCUGGUGCCCCCUAGCACCGCCGCUAGUUCUGCAGGAGAUGCCUGACAUGAGUCAGCUGGCAGAUAUGCUACCGUUGGGCGCCUUUUGUUUACGAAAAUGCAUCUUAUUUGCAUUACUAUGUGGUUAUGAUGCACAAGCAUAUUCUGCUGAUUAAAAUGAUA